UACGUAGGAGGCAAGCGUUGUCCGGAUUUACUGGGCGUAAAGAGCGUGUAGGCGGUUGAGCAAGUCUGCUGUGAAAUCGCCAGGCUCAACUUGGCGGGGUCAGUGGAAACUGCUUAACUUGAGGACGGUAGAGGGGGGUGGAAUUCCCGGUGUAGUGGUGAAAUGCGUAGAGAUCGGGAGGAACACCAGCGGCGAAGGCGGCCCCCUGGGCCGCUCCUGACGCUGAGACGCGAAGGCCAGGGUAGCGAACGGG
rnacentral:rRNA from 1 species